rnacentral:rRNA from 1 species
CAGUCGCCGCGGUAAUACGUAGGUGGCAAGCGUUGUCCGGAAUUAUUGGGCGUAAAGGGCUCGCAGGCGGUUUCUUAAGUCUGAUGUGAAAGCCCCCGGCUCAACCGGGGAGGGUCAUUGGAAACUGGGAAACUUGAGUGCAGAAGAGGAGAGUGGAAUUCCACGUGUAGCGGUGAAAUGCGUAGAGAUGUGGAGGAACACCAGUGGCGAAGGCGACUCUCUGGUCUGUAAUUGACGCUGAGGAGCGAAAGCGUGGGGAGCGAACAGGAUUAGAUACCCGCGUAGUCCCUGUCUCUUAUAC